CCUACGGGAGGCAGCAGUUAGGAAUUUUGGGCAAUGGGGGCAACCCUGACCCAGCAACGCCGCGUGGGUGACGAAGGCCUUCGGGUCGUAAAGCCCUUUUCCCCGAGACGAUGGUGACGGUAUCGGGGGAAUCAGCCCCGGCUAACUACGUGCCAGCAGCCGCGGUAAUACGUAGGGGGCGAGCGUUGUCCGGAUUCAUUGGGCGUAAAGCGCUCGCAGGCGGCUCGCCGCGUCUUGCGUGAAGGCCCCCGGCUCAACCGGGGGCGGUCGCGGGAUACGGGCGAGCUGGAGGCAGGUAGGGGGACGCGGAAUUCCCGGUGUAGUGGUGGAAUGCGUAGAGAUCGGGAGGAACACCGGCGGCGAAGGCGGCGUCCUGGACCUGGCCUGACGCUCAGGAGCGAAAGCGUGGGGAGCGAUCCGGAUUAGAUACCCGAGUAGUC
rnacentral:rRNA from 1 species